UGGUUCAUUAGCUCAGUUGGGAGAGCACUAGCUCGACAAGCUAGGGGUCGCUGGUUCGAGCCCGGCAUGGACCAU
rnacentral:tRNA from 1 species